rnacentral:rRNA from 1 species
AUUGAACGCUGGCGGCAUGCCUUACACAUGCAAGUCGAACGGCAGCGCGGGAGCAAUCCUGGCGGCGAGUGGCGAACGGGUGAGUAACAUAUCGGAACGUGCCCUGGAGUGGGGGAUAACUAGUCGAAAGAUUAGCUAAUACCGCAUACGAUCUACGGAUGAAAGUGGGGGAUCGCAAGACCUCAUGCUCGUGGAGCGGCCGAUAUCUGAUAGCUAGUUGGUAGGGUAAAAGCCUACCAAGGCGACGAUCAGC